CACGUAGGCACCAAGCGUUGUCCGGAUUUAUUGGGCGUAAAGAGCUCGUAGGCGGUUCGGUAAGUCGGGUGUGAAAACACGAGGCUCAACCUCGUGCGUGCAUCCGAUACUGCCGGACUAGAGGUAGGUAGGGGAGAUCGGAAUUCCUGGUGUAGCGGUGAAAUGCGACAGAGUAUCAGGAGGAACACCGGUGGCGAAGGCGGAUCUCUGGGCCAUAACUGACGCUGAGGCACGAAAGCUAGGGGAGCAAACAGG
rnacentral:rRNA from 1 species